UACUUGUAAACCUCAUCAGUUAUUAAUUAAUGGAGUUUUGAGUAUUCUCUCUCUACUUAUUCUCUUAAUCUCUUUAAUCUUACAUAAAACAGUAUGAUUGUUCUUAAACUUGGUUAGAAACACUCUAAUACACAAAAGUGUAUAUUUACAGCCUUAGGAUGUAGGGUUUAUGAGUGAAAUGUAAAGGCAUAUAAAAGCCUUGUAUAUGUGAUUGUAAACACUUAAGUGAGUAAGGGGGGAAACCCUUCUCCUUCAUGUUCUAUGAAAGUCUGUUCUUGAUACUAAGUCUCUAAUCUAUUCUCUAAGUCUCUCAUUCUCUUUAAUCUCGUUACCUAGUCUCUUUCAUACUCUAAAUCUCUCGUAUAACAUGGCAGAAUUACUCCUAGGAUAAUCAUCUGCCUCACCUUAUGACAAUCCACCUCUAUGUGCUUUGUU
rnacentral:lncRNA from 1 species